rnacentral:lncRNA from 1 species
GUGAGACUGUGAAUUCUUCAAAAGCAGGUACUGUGUUUAAUGAAGUGUGCCCAGGACUUUGCUCAGUGACUGGAUGACACAGUAGGAGUAACAAGAAAGUUCACAUGGGUGAACCGUGGUAGGUGGACAUCGUCUCUCUCACCUCUUCCCAAAUCAAGGAUGAAGUACAUCUUCAUAAAUCCUCAUGUGAAUUAUUUUGCUACCUCUAGAAGCAUUUUCUAAAACAAGGUGCAGCAAUCAGUUGAGUGAAUUUGUCACCAGAGCUUAUGUUUUCUGAAAGAACCCUAUCCUCAGGCAGUUGUUCCUAAGAGGUGAGUUGUGGAUUUAGUUCACAUACCUUCCUUCGUGGCUUAAAAUGCUCCACAUGCCUGUCUCCCCAACAGCAUCAGAUCACCAUGCAGUAAAAUACCAAGUCAGAACAGCCAAUGCUGAAAAGAGUGACAGUUUCCUUUCAUGAUGCAAUGCACUUGGAGCCAGGGGACAGGGAGACAAUAACUGCAAGGAGAAGUGAUGACAACCCUACUUUAAUAUAGUAGUUCCUUUUGAAUUUUAUAGACUUACCCGUUAAUCUCUAGAAUUUUGAAAAAAUUCCUUAAGUGAUGUGAGCAAAUAACACUUUGCCUUGGGUUAGCCUUUUCCUUUCCCUUGAAGAUUCCACAAAUAUGUCAGCGCUGGAAAUGAUCCUUUGGCUUUGAACUAUGUGAAGACUGCAGAAGGACUGGUUGGUAAGCACCCACAUCCUGGGGUGAGAAUCACAUCCAGUUUAUACCUCCCUGUGCACACUUGUAUAAAACAACUAUAAGACACACGAGAGAUCUGGAAGCCAGUUCCUCAUAAGUAAGAAUUGGUCAGGCUGCAUUUGUAUCCUGGGUCCACAAGACAUCGUUUCCUUAAAACCAAUCCCCCUGAUUUUGCUAAGAUGAAGAAACUGAGGUCCAGAGAAGUUAAACGACCUUCCUAAGAUUACACAGCUUAGUAAGUGGCAGAACCACAGCUGGAAGCCAGGUCCUUCCUCACGCAAGUCCUGGCUCAUUCAUUCCUCUUCCAAAGACUUGCUGAGCACCUUCUAGGUGCCAGAUGCGGUGCUGGCUCCUGGGGACAUGGGAGUGAACAGGCCAGGCGUGGCCCUGAACCAUCAAAUAGACAACCACAGAAAUAACAACGAAUGAUGCUGGAGGCUGACGAAGAUAAGGGUGGAAAGUGGGCAAUAAAUCAGGAGCUGUUGCAACAUUCCCAGCAAAGGAUAAUGGUGAAUAACAAAGACAAAACCGGGCCCUUCCACACAGUAGCUGGAACACAAAGGAAGAUCAGCCAAGCCUCAACAUAAUCUCAUAAAAAUUCUUCAAAUAUCCCAUUGUUAUGGAUUCAUACAUCAGGAAAGCAGAUGCCAAGAACCUGAACACCUUCUACUGGUAACAUAUAUUUUGGCGAGCCAGCCUGGAGACAAGACCACUAUGGGCAACUUCCUGUCUAUUCUACCUGGUGUCACUGUGGACAACUUCCUAUCUAUUCCACCCGAUUCACCGCUUGGCUACAUCCUCCACCAUUGGGAUGAAUUUGACCCUAACAAUCUAAAGAAAAGGCAUAUGAUUUUUUACUGCAAUAUUGUUUGACACAAUUAUGAGCUGCCCAAUCCGGAACAAUGGGCAGUCAAUGGUAGCCUUAAUUAUGAUACCAUCCUGUAUCUAGACCUAUUUUACAAGAGGCAGGGCAAAUGGUCAGAAGUCCCACAUAUACAGGCCUACAUGACCCUAUACGAAGACCUAAGAAUCUAGGAAACUCCCAGAACCCAUCCCCCGAAGGAAAGUUCUGGGGCAGAACUAGAUAUUAUAGAUGAACCCCCUUUUACAAGGGAUACCUGUCUCUCAGAGUGAGCAGUGACUGUCCCCAUAUAACCCCUCACCAAGUGCUCCUGAGGCUGAAACCCAGGGGCAAACAUGGGGAACCCUACUAAGUCCCCCUCACACUUGGAGGGGAACACUGUAUUCAACUCUCUAUCCAGCCCUGCUACUCUCAGAGAAAUAGCAGGGGCUGAGGGGCCAAUCCUAGUGUGGGUCCCCUUCUCUAUGAUUGAUAUACAACAAUGUAAGGAAAAGCUAGGAAGCUAUUCUGAGGAUUCCGGGAAGUUUGCAGAUGGGUUCCAAACUUUGACCUUAGCCUUUGAUCUCUCAUGGAGAGACGUUCAAUUCACUCUAGCAACCUGUUGCACCUCCUCGGAAAAGGAACGAAUCUUUGAGGCUGCCCUCCGAGAAGUGGACGAAUUAUUCACCCAAAACCGUAAAGGCAGUCACCCAGGCCCAGCCACAGUUCCCACUACGCAUCCUAAUUGAGACCAAGACACCCCCGCAGGAAGGAACAACUGGGCUAAAUUUCUUGAGGCUCUUGGAGGAAUGAGAAAGGGAAUAACUAAGGCAGUAAAUUAUGAUAAAGUAAGGCAGAUUACACAAGGCAGGGAGGAAAACCCAGCUGUGUUUUACGGCAGGCUGCGGGAAGCCUUUAAAAAAUAUAUACUAAUUUGGUCCCUUCCUCUCCUGAAGGCAAGUUAUUAAUGGCACAACGUUUCAUUAGCCAAUCCACACCAGACAUUAGACGUAAGCUCCAAAAGCUACACAUGGGGCCACAAACUAACCAAAAUCAGCUUCUUGGUACUGCCUUCAUGGUGUAUAACAAUCGUGACCUGGAGGAAGGAGAAGGGAAACAGAGUAAAGAAAAACGGCAAGCCAAAAUUAUGUUAGCCAUCACUGGUGAUGCCCUAAAUGCACAAAGAUUGUCCAAGGGAAACUCAAAGGGCCAUAAGGAUAAUGCCAGCAAAGGCUCUUGCUUCAAAUGCAAUAAAAGUGCGAUUGGGCACAGGAAUCCACUAAGCCCCCGCCAGUCCCCUGCCGUCAAUGUAAAAGCACCAGUUGUGGCUCCUGGCCCUGGAGAAUUGACUGUCCCUGCUCCCACCAAGGGGCUCAGUCAGUCAAAACUCUGGCAGUGCACAAGGAGGAAUCAGAUGAAGACUGAAGGGGCCUGGGGCCUUCCUCACUGCCCCGUCUAGGAACAUUGUAAUUACUACUGAGGAACCCUGGGUAACUCUGGACAUCAUGGCCACCCAAAUUCAGUUUUUAUGUGAUACCAAGGUGAAUUAUUCUGUACAACUGCUUAUGCAGGAAAACUUUCCUCCCGGUCCAUGAGUGAUAUUGGAUGGAAGGGAAGCCACAAACAAGAUUCUUACUCCUCCUUUGGUUUGUCAAUUUGAGAAACAAAUCUUCCAACAGGAAUUUUUAGUAGUACCAAGCUGCCCAAUUCCCCUGUGGGAAAGAGAUAUUAUGGUGAAAAUAGUGACACUACUGCAAUUUAAGCAAUAUUAGCAGGUGAAACUGCUAAUAGUAAGAAAUAAGGCAAUGUCCCAGACCAUGUCAAUAAACAGGUUAACCCACUGGCAUGGUAUACUGGAAACCCAGGGAAGGCUAAAACAGCAGUGCCAGUCAAAAUACAGCUUAAAGACCCCAGCCAUUUUCCCAAUGGAAAACAAUACCCAGUUGAACAGGAAGCAAGCAAAGGUCUAGCUCCCAUAGUUGAGAUAUUACUUACCCAUGGACUCUUAAAACCCUGCAAUUCUCCCUGCAAUACCCCCAUCUUACCUGUUCUCAAGCCUGGGGGGAAUACCAGCUAGUACAGAACCUCAGAAUAAUGAAUGAGGCUGUUAUCCCCGUCCACCCAUUGGUGGCAGAUCCAUAUGCCCUCCUGGCUCAGGUGCCAGGGCAUGCAAAAUGGUUCUCAGUCCUAGACCUUUCUUCUCCAUUCCUCUGGCCCCGAGCCCCCCAGUACCUUUUUGCUUUCGAAUGGGAAAAUCCUAAUACCAGAUAAAAACAAUACACUUGGACAGUGCUUCCUCAGGGCUUUCGGGAUAGCCCCCACUUCUUUGCCUGAGCAUUAGAGCGGGAUCUGAGGGAUUUCAAGUUAGAAAAUGGAGGUAUUCUUCAGUAUGGGGAUGACCUUGUGUGUAGCCCAACCUAGGAGGUUUCUGACCAAAAUACUAUAAAAACUUUGAAUUUCCUGGCAGACAGAGGAUACAAAGUGUCCAAAAAGAAGGCUCAGAUUACCCUCCAAUGGGUCCACUAUUUAGGAUAUGUCUUAACACCCGGAACCCGGCAAAUAUCCCCAGAAGGAGUGCAAGCUAUAUGUGGUUUGGCCGCGUGCACCACCCCCAGCCCCCACCCUGACCCACCUCCAAGCAGCAGCUUUGUUCCUUUUUGGGGAUGGCCGGGCUUUGGAGAAUAUGAGUACCAAAUUUUGGGCUCAUAGCAAAGCCCCUAUAUGAAGCAACAAGGGGGCCUGAAAAUGAGCUAAUGGAAUGGACCCCGGAAAUGAGGAAAGCCUUUGCCAAGUUAAAACAGGUUCUCACCCAGGCUCCUGCUCUUGGUAUCCCAGACCUAAUUAAGGCCUUCUCCUUGUAUGUAGCAGAGAAGAGGGGCAUAGCUGUGGGAGUGCUAGCCCAGAAAUUAGGAUCAGAACCCAGACCAACCGCCUACUUCUCAAAAAAGUUGGACGGAGUGGCCUCAGGAUGGCCAAGUUGCCUGCGGGCAAUAGCAGCCACUGCUGUUAGUGGAGGAAGCCACUAAAAUCACCCUAGGGCAACCACUGGAAGUUCUAACGCUCCAUCAGGUAAAGUUAGUCUUAGAAAUAAAGGGACACAUCUGGAUGACAGGGGAAAUGUUAACUAAAUACCAGCCCAUGCUCCUAGACAAUCCAGAUAUAACUCUUAAAACCUGCAACACUUUAAAUCCAGCUUCAUUGCUGCCCACAGGCCCAAUAAUUGAUCAUUCCUGUGAGCAGGUCAUUGCACAUACAUAUGUUAGCCAGCCUGAUUUAAAAGAUGAGGCUCUCCCAGAUUCUGAAGCUGACCGGCUCACAGACGGCAGUAGUUCUUUGUCGAAUGGGGAGCACAGAGCUGGAUAUGCAGCAGUAAAUCAUGACACAAUUAUUGAAGCCCAGCCAGUGCCCCCUGGCACAUCAGCACAAAAGGCUAAAAUCAUUGAUCUUACUCAAGCAUUAAUGUUGGGACAAGGGAAAAAACUUAACAUCUAUACAGAUUCUAAAUAUGCAUUCCUUGUGGUUCAUGCUCAUACCGCCAUCAGGAAAGAAAGGGGAUUACUUACUAGCAAGCACUCCCCUAUAGAGCAUGGACCUGAAAUUCUGCAGCUAUUGAAGGCAAUACACCUGCCAAAGGCCAUAGCUAUCAUUCAUUGUAGGGGGCAUCAAAGGGACUUAACCCCUAUAGCACAAGGGAAUGGAAAGGCUGACGGAAGCCAAAGCAAAAGCCCUCAGCGUGCAAUCCCAACAGAUCCUAGCACUGCUUCCUUUCUACAAUUCCCCAGUAGAACCCAAAUACACACCACAGGAAGAACAGCUAAUAAAAAAAGCAAGGGAGACAAAAACAAGGAUCCUGGUGGCAUAUGGAGCCAAAAAUAUAUCUCCCUCAGGCAGCCCAGUGGAGAGUUAUAAAAGCCCUGCAUGACUCUUUCCAUGUGGGGAGGGAUGCGGCUCUGGCCAUGGUAAACAAGUUCUUUACUGGGUUUAACUCAGCUUCAAUGGCUAAGCAGGUCUGUCAAGCCUGCUCACUGUGUGCAUUUAACAAUCCAGGCAUCAAAAUGCCCCCUCUAAUAAAACCAGUCCAAAGGAGGGGAACUUAUCCAGGGGAAGACUGGCAGUUAGACGUCAUCCAUAUGCCAGCUUGCAGAGGAUACAAGCUUUUGUUAAUACUAAUAGAUACUUUUAGGUUGGGUCAAAGGUUACCCCAGAAAAGGCUAAUGAGGUUCUAAGGUCCUCUUAAAAGAAAUAAUUCCCCAGUUUGGGUUACCUCAGGGUCUCCAAAGUGAUAAUGGCUAAUCCUUUAUCUCCCAAAUAACUCAAGGGGUUGCUAAGGCUCUUGGAAUAAAAUACUAUUUACAUUCAGCCUGGAGGCCCCAAUCCUCUGGAAAAGUGGAAAGGGUUAACCAAACUCUAAAAUAAGCACUAGCUAAACUAUGUCAGGAAACAUCAGAAACUUGGGUUAGCUUAUUGCUCACAGCCCUUUUAAGAAUUUGUAAUACCCCUAGCUCAAAAAUUAACAGAAGCCCAUAUAAAAUGUUAUACAGAAGGCCAUUCUUAACUAAUGAUUUAAUUAUUGACCCAGAAAGAGUUGGUGUAAUUAAAUACCUAGUCAACCCAGAACAAUUCCAGCGGGUUUACAAGAGUUUGGAAUUCAAAGGCUCCUCACACUUGGAACUAACCAGCAACCCAAAAUCAGGCCAGGAGAUAGGGUACUUGUUAAAACAUGGAAUGAGGGAUCACCUGCCCAACAAUUACAACCCCAAUAGAAGGGACUUUUUUCAGUAAUACUGGCCACGUCUUCUGUGGUCAAAGUACUAGUAUUAGAUAGCUGGAUACAUCUUUCAAGGAUCAAACCAUCAAUACCAGAAGCUCCAGACCAGGAACCUGAAGUUCCCAUCAGCCAGUACACCUGUGAACCAGUGGAGGACCUGAAGUACCUGUUUAAAAGAUAGCCAAAAGAUAAGUAAAUGCCUACCAACUUUCUUUGGUGUCUUUGUUGCAUAGUUACUGUGGGCUGGAAAAUAGUAGCCAUUUUUAUCUUUGCAGUUUAAUUGCCUUCUUCCAAAUAGAUAAAAAUCACUUCCUUUGUAAUAAUUAAACAGAAUUUAAAAAAUACAUUUCUAUGACAAAUAUUCCUGAUGGCAUAAGUAUCCACCCCAAGGUUCCCAUUAAAUCUUUUAACCUAAAGUAUUUCCUCUCACCUAGAGAUCAUCGAGCUGUGUGACAAGGGUGCCAGCCACUCCAGGUGAAGACACCACCCCAGGCCAUCAAGGAUCUUCCCUACCUUCACUAAACAGAGCAGGGUGAAAGUUGUGUGAUCCCCAAUAGGUAGGGACUACACCCCAAGUCAGCAGGAAGCAGUUACAGAAGAAAGACCAUUGGUCCCUCUGCUUCCCAUAAAGAUUUAUGGGGAUCACAGCUUUCACGGGGGAGAUGAGGCAAGAGAAUAGGGCAUGCAGGCAGGGUACUUGAGGCCAAUCCACGCUGACUUCCUAGAACUGAAUUAAAUGAAAGCUCCUCAGCAAUGACAGGAAUGUGAAUGGCUUUGUAACUUCUUCCUCUCCAUUAAUGCUAUUUCCACUUUGUAACUUCACUUUCAUCCUCUCCAUUUACAUAGAUCACACACCAAGUAACAUCCUCUCCAUUUACAGUAGGGCGCAUUCCGAGUCAAUGACUCUGACUGCACUUCGUUCUCCUCAUUUACAUAGAACAUUCGCCAAGUAACCAAUGGGAAACCUCUAGAGUAUUGAAACUCCAGAAAAUUCCGUAAGUGGGGCUCUUGAGCGUCUACACUCGGGUCGCUCCCACACUGUGGCGUGUACUUUUAUUCUCAAUAAAUUCCCGCUUUUGCUUUCCUCGUUC